UAUAUUCUUAUGAAUUUAUAACUAUGUGUGCUAGCUAGUAGCAUAAAUUUAACGAAAAAAGCUUAGUUUAACAACCGAAUUUUUGAUCCCGUAUUUUUAAUUGGUGAACAUAUAAUUUUUAUAUAAAUCGUAUAUCCGAAUAAUUAGCGAGCCCAUUUUUAAAUCGUAUUUUUCAACGAAUUUAAAAAUCAUGAUACAAAUUUCAUUCGAAUUAUUGAGAAAAUUACUUACUAAUUUAAAAAAUAUAGAGUUUUAAGUUGUGCUAUUGAUAUAAAAACUGUAUCAUAUCGAUAUCUUAUUGAUACAGUACGAUUCUGUGAAUACGAUCUGUACCGAUAAAUACAUAAAUUCUUGCUUUCAGUACUAUUCUAAGUACUACU
rnacentral:lncRNA from 1 species